AUUGAACGCUGGCGGCAGGCUUAACACAUGCAAGUCGAGCGGAGAGAGGUAGCUUGCUACUGAUCUUAGCGGCGGACGGGUGAGUAAUGCUUAGGAAUCUGCCUAUUAGUGGGGGACAACAUUUCGAAAGGAAUGCUAAUACCGCAUACGUCCUACGGGAGAAAGCAGGGGAUCUUCGGACCUUGCGCUAAUAGAUGAGCCUAAGUCGGAUUAGCUAGUUGGUGGGGUAAAGGCCUACCAAGGCGACGAUCUGUAGCGGGUAUGAGAGGAUGAGCCGUCACACUGGGACUGAGAUACGGCCCAGACGCCUACGGGAGGCAGCAGUGGGGAAGAUUGGACAAUGGGCGGAAGCCUGAUCCAGCCAUGCAGCGUGUGUGAAGCAGGCCUUAUGGUUGUAAAGCACUUUGAGCGAGGAGGAGGCUACUUUAGUUAAUACCUAGAGAUAGUGGACGUUACUCGCAGAAUAAGCACCGGCUAACUCUGUGCCAGCCGCCGCAGUAAAAC
rnacentral:rRNA from 1 species